CUCUUGAUAAUUUAUAUUCAAAAUAUUAGCCUUGCAUGCUAAAAAAGGGUUUAGUCCUCAAGUGA
rnacentral:tRNA from 1 species